rnacentral:rRNA from 1 species
GACGAACGCUGGCGGCGUGCUUAACACAUGCAAGUCGAACGGUGAAGCAGAGCUUGCUCUGUGGAUCAGUGGCGAACGGGUGAGUAACACGUGAGUAACCUGCCCUUGACUCUGGGAUAAGCGUUGGAAACGACGUCUAAUACCGGAUACGAGCUGAGACCGCAUGGUCAUCAGUUGGAAAGAUUUUUUGGUCAAGGAUGGACUCGCGGCCUAUCAGCUUGUUGGUGAGGUAAUGGCUCACCAAGGCGACGACGGGUAGCCGGCCUGAGAGGGUGACCGGCCACCCUGGGACUGAGACACGGCCCAGACUCCUACGGGAGGCAGCAGUGGGGAAUAUUGCACAAUGGGCGCAAGCCUGAUGCAGCAACGCCGCGUGGGGGAUGACGGCCUUCGGGUUGUAAACCUCUUUUAGUAGGGAAGAAGCGAAAGUGACGGUACCUGCAGAAAAAGCACCGGCUAACUACGUG